rnacentral:lncRNA from 1 species
ACUUGAGCAUUGCUCAUUUUACCAAAAUGUUCAUAUUACCCUAUAUAUCUACACAGUUCAACUAUCAGAAUAAGAGAUAGAGAAAUACAGAAGUUUAAGUGCCAGCAGAGUCAGUGGUGCUAAAGACAAGCCGUUAAGUAUAAUAAGCAUUAACAAAAACAUUUUUGGUUGAAGGAUAAAACGAAAGGGUUUGGUUAAUUUGAUUAGAUAAAAUUAACCAACAUCAAAAAGAGUGCAGUUUGGAUAAAAAGGGAGGACAAUAAAAAACAAAGAAAAAGUGAUUGAGUGAAGAAAUGCUAAAGAAAAACACAUAAAAAUAUUGUCAAACCUAAUUUCAUUAAAAAAAAAAAUUAACAUUUAAGUAGAUGCCCAUUCCAAGAAUGGCUUUUAAAGUCUUUGCAAAUCAAAAGGAUAAUCACCGCAUCACCACAAAGGAUAAUCCCCACAUAUCAAAGGAUAAUCACCACAUCACAUCAAAAAUCAGAUUAGAACAGUAGUGGUGGAAAAGGUUUAUUAAAUUUAAAGUUUUAGUCUCUAGGAUGUCAGACCAGCAAGAAAAAUUUUUUGUAGAUGAAUCCAAAGAGAAUUCAUCAAUUUUGGUGUGGAAUUAUUUUUUACGAGGGACAAAAAAUCAAGUGGCGAAGUGCAUAUAGUGUAAGCAGAUUUUAAAGAUAUUGGGUGGAUGUAGAACACCAAUGCAUACCCAUUUGCGAGCAAACAACACAACAAGGUAUUAAAUAAAAGAAAAACUGAUAAUGAUUCAUAUGUUUUUGGUACGAGUGCUAUUAAUUUAAAUAGAAAAAGCAAACCUUUUUGAUUAUUAUUGUUUAAAAGAAGACAAAAGUUUUUGCCUAGUCAAUAACUACAGAAAUACUUUCCCAAAAAAAGAAGGUAUUUUUCAGUCUCACACUUGACGAGUGGUCGGCGUUUUAUGAAUCUUAACGUACAUAAAUCAGGAGAUCAUGUUUGUAAUUCGGGGCUGUCUCGUAUUUAUGGCCGAUUUGCUGCUAAGGGUUGUGUAAAGUUGUAGAAAAAGAAGCUUGAAACUUGCCAAAUAAAUAUUUGAUUGACAAUGAUGUUUUUUGUAUUAUGACUAAGGCACUCUCGACGAUGCAAAACGUGGGUAGAUUGCAACCUUGUGAACAAAUUUUAUGUUUUGCUUAUGCAAUUUAAAUUCUAUUGUGAAUAUAUUCUAUAAAAAGCAAACUAAAGUAGAAGAAGAAUAAUAUAAUAGUGAAAGUGACCUAAAUCUUGAAUCCAAUGAAGAAAAUCUUACUGAUGACAAGGAUGAUGAAAAUGGAAUGCGGGUAGACAUGGGAAAUGGAACUGAUGUUAUAAAAACCGCCGAAAAUUUCCAGAUACGAACAUUGAUAACUAAAGUGUGAAAAGCUUUUAAAGUACUCCGUUGUUCGCCUUUGAAAAAUGAAGUUCAUCAAAAAUACUUGAAGAAGAAGAAAGAUUGUAAAAAAAGAGUUAAGGCUUGUGUUAGAUUCAAAAAAUGGAGCAGCAUGUUGUUUAUGUUAGAUUGCUUGAAUGUUUUAAAAUCUUCAUUAAAGAAAUUAUUAAUUGAUAUUAAUGGAGAGAUACAUUUCAUAUGAAACAAAAUGGGAUACAGUAUCACAGAUAUCAAAACGUUUGAUGCCAGUAAAAUUAGCUGUAGACUUGUUAUACCAUGCUGACACCGACUUACGUUUACGUUUAAAAGAUUAUCAUUAAUAUUUACGUUUAUGUUACAAAAUUUAGGUGAGUACAAACAAUCCAGCAGCCACUUUAAAAGUUAGGUGAGUGCAAACAAUCCAGCAGCCACUUUUACACCCGAAAACAAGAACUUUAAAAAAACCAUCAAAUCAAUCAGCAAUACAAAAUUAAACUAAAUAUUGGAACCAAAGUGGCCAAAGUGACCACUUUUGAAAAAUAUUUACAGUAUCCUGUUGUGUUUUUCUCCAACAAGUGUUGAAGCAGAGAGAGCUUUUUACGCCGCUGGAAAAUUUUCAACAAAAAUCAGUUCAAGACUUAAUGAUUCGAUAUCGGAUAAUUUGUGUAUGCUAAGAAGUUUUUUUAAAAAUCAAAAUUAAAAAAAUAUGUUUUUA